rnacentral:rRNA from 1 species
GAAGCGACCGGCGGCUUCUUUGCUUUCACCGUGGUAGGCCGGAACCAUGCUGCCGAAGUAGUUAGCGAUCAUGCUGUCGUAGGCGGCGGUGUGUUCGAAGGCUUUAAUCGCGAGAUCGAAACGGGUGUCGAGGGUCAAAGAACCUUCGUUAGCGUCCAUCUCUUUAAUAAUGGCGUCGUAGUCGCUGCUCUUCACCACGAUGGCCACGUCUUUAUGGUUCUUCGCGGCGGAGCGCACCAUGGUCGGGCCGCCGAUAUCGAUGUUCUCUACUGCAUCUUCCAGCGAGCAACCAACGCGUGCAACGGUUUCGGCGAACGGAUACAGGUUAACGACAACCAUAUCGAUAGGGGCGAUGUGGUGCUGUUCCAUAAUGGCAUCGUCCUGGCCGCGACGACCGAGGAUGCCGCCGUGGACUUUUGGAUGCAGGGUCUUUACGCGUCCAUCCAUCAUUUCCGGGAAACCGGUGUAAUCGGAAACUUCGGUCACCGGCAGGCCUUUUUCUGCUAACAGGCGGGCGGUGCCCCCCGUAGACAGCAGUUCCACACCGCGUGCGGAAAGAGCCUGGGCGAAUUCGAUGAUACCGGCCUUGUCAGAAACACUGAGCAGAGCGCGGCGGACUGGACGACGUUGUUGCAUGGUAAAUCCCCUGGAUUUGACGAUUACAGAGAGCGUUAGCUGAAUUUUUCGUAAAAAACUCAGCUAACGCCCCUUAUGGGGCAUUCUCAUUUUGCGGCGACAUUGUAACGAAAACGUUUGCGCAACGCUCGCGAAUUUUUCUUUUUAAAUUCUGGCCCCGCUUUUAUCCCUGAAAGAUCGUUUGCAGAGUGAGAAGAUCCAGGAAAUGAACGCGCAUUUUGUGGAUAAGUCUGUGCGUAAAUGGGUAUAACCAGGGGGUUUGCUGGGGAAUGCAGCAAACAGUCAUUUUUCUGCAAUUUUUCUAUUGCGGUCAGCAGAGAACUCCCUAUAAUGCGCCUCCAACCUUACCUGGUCUUGACAUCCACAGAACUUUCCAGAGAUGGAUUGGUGCCUUCGGGAACUGUGAGACAGGUGCUGCAUGGCUG